GGCUCUCGUCCGGGACACGGCUUUCCGGACUAGAGCCCUUGGAGGUGUUAAGUGUGAUGCUUCCAUAAUACAUUUGGAUGUUGUCAGCUAAGUUCACUUCUGAACUAAGGGGUUCCUCCAAAUGUUGGCUGAAAUUCAUCCCAAGGCUGGUCUGCAAAGUUUACAAUUCAUAAUGGAGCUACUGUACUGGCUAUUGGAAGGAGGAGAUUCUGAAGAUAAGGAGGUAAAACCUGUUUAGAAAUUAAAAAUGAGUUACGAUUUAAAGAAAAUUCAGAUGACUCAUUGUGAGUGCUAGUUCUCUUGUAGGAUGCCACUGGAAAUGUUGAAAUGAAAAAUAUUCAGCCGUCGGUCUUUGAAAUUUCCUGUGAUGUGUUUCAAUCGAGAUGCAAAGAACAUGGAAAAAUCAAAGUGCUCAAGUGGUUUAAAUAUGUUUUGGAUGUUCCUGUUUAUAGACUAUAAUACUUUUCCAAUUAAAAUCCUCAGUUGUCACGCAGAAGAAGGUUAAGCUGUAUUUGAUUGCCAGUUUUACUGAAAAUGCUUAGUAUUUUACAGUAUCACCAAAUAUAUUUUGUUUAGCCAAGGUAUAGGAAAAAUAAAAUAAAUUGUAUAGGUUGACUUUUUUCUAAAAUGUCUUUAUUGGAUAGAAUGAAUGUUUAUACCUGAAAAAA
rnacentral:lncRNA from 1 species